rnacentral:rRNA from 1 species
AACGAACGCUGGCGGCAUGCCUAACACAUGCAAGUCGAACGAGACCUUCGGGUCUAGUGGCGCACGGGUGCGUAACGCGUGGGAACCUGCCCUUAGGUUCGGAAUAACUCCCCGAAAGGGGUGCUAAUACCGGAUAAUGUCUUCGGACCAAAGAUUUAUCGCCUUUGGAUGGGCCCGCGUUGGAUUAGCUAGUUGGUAGGGUAAAAGCCUACCAAGGCGCCGAUCCAUAGCUGGUCUGAGAGGAUGAUCAGCCACACUGGGACUGAGACACGGCCCAGACUGGUACGGGAGGCAGCAGUGGGGAAUAGUGGACAAGGGGCGAAAGCCUGAGCCAGCAAUGCCGCGUGAGUGAUGAAGGCCUUAGGGUUGUAAAGCUCUUUUACCCGGGAUGAUAAUGACAGUACCGGGAGAAUAAGCGCCGGCUAACUCCGUG